AUUGAACGCUGGCGGCAUGCCUUACACAUGCAAGUCGAACGGCAGCACGGGUGCUUGCACCUGGUGGCGAGUGGCGAAAGGGUGAGUAAUACAUCGGAACAUGUCCUGUAGUGGGGGAUAGCCCGGCGAAAGCCGGAUUAAUACCGCAUACGAUCUACGGAUGAAAGCGGGGGACCUUCGGGCCUCGCGCUAUAGGGUUGGCCGAUGGCUGAUUAGCUAGUUGGUGGGGUAAAGGCCUACCAAGGCGACGAUCAGUAGCUGGUCUGAGAGGACGACCAGCCACACUGGGACUGAGACACGGCCCAGACUCCUACGGGAGGCAGCAGUGGGGAAUUUUGGACAAUGGGCGAAAGCCUGGUCCAGCAAUGCCGCGUGUGUGAAGAAGGCCUUCGGGUUGUAAAGCACUUUUGUCCGGAAAGAAAUCCUUGGCUCUAAUACAGUCGGGGGAUGACGGUACCGGAAGAAUAAGCACCGGCUAACUACGUG
rnacentral:rRNA from 1 species